rnacentral:rRNA from 1 species
CUUGCUUGGGGUACUCGAGUGGCGAACGGGUGAGUAAUACGUGGGUAACCUGCCCUCUUCUUUGGGAUAAGCCCCGGAAACGGGGUCUAAUACCGGAUAUUCUGCUUCUGCCGCAUGGUGGGGGUUGGAAAGGUUUUUCGGUGGGGGAUGGGCCCGCGGCCUAUCAGCUUGUUGGUGGGGUGAUGGCCUACCAAGGCUUCGACGGGUAGCCGGCCUGAGAGGGUGACCGGCCACAUUGGGACUGAUAUACGGCCCAGACUCCUACGGGAGGCAGCAGGC